rnacentral:rRNA from 1 species
UACGUAGGGGGCAAGCGUUGUCCGGAAUCAUUGGGCGUACAGCGCGCGUAGGCGGACCUGCAAGUCGGGGGUGAAAGCCCGAGGCUCAACCUCGGAACUGCCUUCGAUACUGCGGGUCUCGAGUCCGGGAGAGGUGAGUGGAAUUCCUAGUGUAGAGGUGAAAUUCGUAGAUAUUAGGAAGAACACCAGUGGCGAAGGCGGCUCACUGGCUCGGUACUGACGCUGAGGCGCGAAAGCCAGGGGAGCAAACGGG